rnacentral:misc_RNA from 1 species
CUUUUGCAGAAAGAAGCAACAGAAGAUGCGCAGUUUAGAAGCCAAUUUGGUACACGUUGGACUAGGCCUCAAUCCAGCACUCUGACAAAGAACUUGCAGGAUAGGUUAAAUAGAUUUGCAGCUAACUUAAAGCAAGCUUCAGACAGUGAUGGCAGAAUUGAACGUUCUGUGAGGGAUCAUUCUGCACUCAUGUCAAUCCUUGAUCGCCGACCAAUAGAAUCUGCUCUUCCAACUCUGUCUAGGCCAAUAAUGUCUUUGGAUGCCAAU